AGUAAUGUCUGGGAAACUGCCUGAUGAGGGGGAGUAACUACUGGAAACGGUAGCUAAUACCGCAUAACGUCGCAAGACCAAAUGGGGGACCUUCGGGCCUCAUGCCAUCAGAUGUGCCCAGAUGGGAUUAGCUAGUAGGUGGGGUAACGGCUCACCUAGGCGACGAUCCCUAGCUGGUCUGAGAGGAUGACCAGCCACACUGGAACUGAGACACGGUCCAG
rnacentral:rRNA from 1 species